UUCUCCUUAGCUCAGUUGGUUAGAGCGUUCGACUGUUAAUCGAGAGGUCCGCAGUUCAAGCCUGCGAGGGGAAG